UGGCCCUCCCAGACUGGUGGGCGGGGAAGUGAGUACAAGCCAGAGUGGCCAGUGUUGUGGGUAAAUACAGAUGCUGUGAUAAAGAACACGUGAGAGCCCGAGAAAAUCAGCCGCACCGCCUGGAAACGAAAAGAAAGCGGUUUCCGUUUCCUCCUACAGGGAAGAGGAGACCCGGGUCUGCAGUACAAACGUUGCGAAACACCAUUAUUUGCCGCAUGGGACCAUGAAGGCUGUGAAGUAAAGGGCAAGACUGGGUCCAGAUGGAAGAACAGGAAGAUGGACGGAUAGCAGGUCCAGACAGAGGAACAGACAGACAGACUGCAGGUUCAGACAGAGGAACAGACAGACAGACCGCAAUUCAAGCAGGCCACGUCCACAGUGGGGACCAAGCCAUGCUGAAGCUUCUGGGACUGUUGGAGGUCGCUGUUGGCCAGGAAGUCAGGUGACAAUUCAGCGACAGGAGUCCUCCUUUUGCUGGGGUCUAGGUGAGGGGGCUAUACUCUUUCUUCCGCUGUGUUCUGUGGGUUCUCGGGCCUGGUUCUCCUGGUGUGAUUACAGUGCAUUCAUGUGUUCCCGCAGCCCAGUUCACUCUAAUCAUUUUGCAGGGUAGUGCCCUUACCGUGUUUAGAAAUGAGUUACCAUCACUCUGGGCUUCAAGCCGUGCUGGACAGAGGGUCCUGUUUGUGUGGCCUCUGGUGCUGCACAAUUUUAUGUCAAUGUAGCACAAACCACAGUCACUUCAGAGAAGGAAGCAUGAAUUAGGAAAAUGCCUCAUUAAGACCGGCUGUAGUACAUUUUCUUAAUGAGUGAUUUGUCACUGAAUAUCCCUUUACACUGUGUCACUGUGAUUGGUUUAAUAAAGAGCUGAAUGGCCAAUGGCUAGGCAGGACUUCUGGGGGCAGAGGGGACUCUGAGAGGAAGAAACCAUGGCUGCCAGUUGGACACAAAGGAAGCAGGGCAUGCAGGAGGAGAGGUAAAAACCACGGGCCAUGUGACAACAUAUAGAUGAACGGAAAUGGGUUAAUUUCAGUUAUAAGAGUUAGUUAGAAGCAAGCCUAAGCUAAGGCCAACCUGUCAUACUUAAUGUCUCUGUGUCAUGAUUUGGGGCCUGGUAGCCCAAGAAAGUCUGCUACAGUGACUGAUGGGGGAGGGCCUAGGCCAUGUGGGUGGUUCCAUCCCUGUGCUUGUGAUCCUGGGUUCUAUACAAAAGCAGGCUGAGCAAGUCAGUAAGCAGCUCCCCUCCACGGCCUCUGCAUCAGCUCCUGCCUCCAGGUUCCUGCCCUGUGUGAGUUCCGGCCCUCACUGCUUUUGAUGAUGAACUGCUUAUGAAUCUAUGAGCGAA